UGAGGAAUAUUGGACAAUGGGCGCAAGCCUGAUCCAGCCAUGCCGCGUGCAGGAUGAAGGCCUUCGGGUUGUAAACUGCUUUUGUACGGAACGAAAAGACUCCUUCUAAUAAAGGGGGUCCAUGACGGUACCGUAAGAAUAAGCACCGGCUAACUACGUGCCAGCAGCCGCGGUAAUACGUAGGGUGCGAGCGUUAAUCGGAAUUACUGGGCGUAAAGCGUGCGCAGGCGGUUAUAUAAGACAGAUGUGAAAUCCCCGGGCUCAACCUGGGACCUGCAUUUGUGACUGUAUAGCUAGAGUACGGUAGAGGGGGAUGGAAUUCCGCGUAUAGCAGUGAAAUGCGUAGAGAUGCGGGGGAACACCGAUGGCGAGAGCAAUCCCCUGGACCUGUACUGACGCUCAUGCACGAAAGCGUGGGGAGAAAAC
rnacentral:rRNA from 1 species